rnacentral:sRNA from 1 species
GCUGCCCAGGAUUGGUAGGCUCCACCGCGCGGCAGCCGGCUUCCCUGCUCGGGCGCCGAGCACCGCCAAAGCGCGCACCCGAGCAGUGAUAGCGUGGCCCAGACUCCUGAAUUGCUACGGCGAUACCCCUUGGAGGAUCACACUGAGUUUCCCCUGCCCCCAGAUGUAGUGUUCUUCUGCCAGCCCGAGGGCUGCCUGAGCGUGCGGCAGCGGCGCAUGAGCCUUCGGGAUGAUACCUCUUUUGUCUUCACCCUCACUGACAAGGACACUGGAGUCACGCGAUAUGGCAUCUGUGUUAACUUCUACCGCUCCUUCCAAAAGCGAAUCUCUAAGGAGAAGGGGGAAGGUGGGGCAGGGUCCCGUGGGAAGGAAGGAACCCAUGCCACCUGUGCCUCAGAAGAGGGUGGCACUGAGAGCUCAGAGAGUGGCUCAUCCCUGCAGCCUCUCAGUGCUGACUCUACCCCUGAUGUGAACCAGUCUCCUCGGGGCAAACGCCGGGCCAAGGCGGG